UUCNAUCUCAGUGGAGUUGAGAAUGUAAUUAUAGAAAACUCUACUGUGAUGAAUCAAGAUGAUUGCGUAGUUAUCAAUGCUGGAUCAAACAUCCUUGUCAGGAAUAUGGAUUGCUCUGGUGGACAUGGAUUGAGUCUUUCAGUUACUAAAGAACCCGUAUAUAAUGUUACUUUUACUGAUAGUAUUGUGAAAAAAUCAGCAAACGGAUUGCAUGUGAAGACUCACAUUGAUGGCAAAGAAACUGAAAUCAGAAAUAUCACCUAUAAAAAUAUCGAACUGAAAGGUAUCACUAACUUUGGAAUAAAUAUACAACAGGAUUACAAAGAUGGAGAAGGUACCGGCAAACCAUCCAGUAAUAUUCCAAUCAUACACUUGGUGUUGAGUAACAUUACUGGCACCAUGAAUGGUAACGAUUCGAAACCAAUACAAAUCAUUUGUGGUGAUACCGGCUGCUUGAACUGGGAGUGGUCUGACAUCUCUAUUACAAGCAAUUCAACACCAAGCAAUUGUAAUUAUUCACCUGCUGGAUUUUCUUGUUGAGAGUGGUUUUGUGAUUUUAGAAUUAGUGAGGUUGCCUGUAUAAUCAUGAUUUCACUUUGUAUAAUGCAAUAUUAUUCUGCCA
rnacentral:misc_RNA from 1 species